GGGUGCGUAGCUCAGCGGUAGAGCGCCUGCCUUACAAGCAGGAUGUCGGCGGUUCGAAACCGUCCGCGCCCACCA
rnacentral:tRNA from 3 species